rnacentral:rRNA from 1 species
UACGUAGGGGGCAAGCGUUGUCCGGAUUUAUUGGGCGUAAAGAGCGUGUAGGCGGCCAGGUAGGUCCGCUGUGAAACUCGAGGCUCAACCUCGAGAUGUCGGCGGAAACCAUCUGGCUAGAGUCCGGAAGAGGAGAGUGGAAUUCCUGGUGUAGCGGUGAAAUGCGCAGAUAUCAGGAAGAACACCCGUGGCGAAGGCGGCUCUUUGGGACGUGACUGACGCUGAGACGCGAAAGCGUGGGGAGCAAACAGG